rnacentral:rRNA from 1 species
UACGGAGGGUGCAAGCGUUGUCCGGAAUCACUGGGCGUAAAGGGCGCGUAGGCGGCUCGGUAAGUAGGGGGUGAAAUCCUGCGGCUCAACCGCAGGGCUGCCUUCUAAACUGUCGAGCUCGAGCACGGUAGAGGCAGAUGGAAUUCCCGGUGUAGCGGUGGAAUGCGUGGAGAUCGGGAAGAACAUCAGUGGCGAAGGCGGUCUGCUGGGCCGUUGCUGACGCUGAGGCGCGACAGCGUGGGGAGCAAACAGG